ensembl:lncRNA
GAAUGUGCAGUGAAUGUCCAAUAUAAACCCAACUUCACCUCAGUUUAGCAGUUUAUACAUUAAAAACAUUACAGAAAUUUAAAGUUAUUUUAGCUGCUAAAUGACAGCCACUUUUACACUCACUGUUGUUUAUUUUAGUUGCUAUAAGCAGGGAGCAAACAAUGGAUUUUAGGAUAAAGUAAGGUUAUACUUAAAUAGUGCCGCUAAAACAGAAUAACAAAUCUCUCCUCAUGAGUUAAAUAGUGCACUACAUAGGGUGUAGACUGUCAUUAUUUCAUCCCUAAUGUAGUGCACUUAAACCGGAAAUGACAUCAAUUUGGGAUUCGGCCACACAGCUUCCGUUUAAUUUACCUCGGGUUUAAAAACAGAACGGUUUUAAUUCCUCAAACACAGACAAAAUAACCAGCUUUUAUGUUUAAACUGGAUCAAACCUAACUGUAAAACUGUCAGAAAUAAUUUAAUCUGGAGAUGAUUAGUUCGGUGUAAUAACUCAACUGCUCAGGAGAUACCCGCUGCAGCUUUUUCUUCUUCUGUGAUUUCUACUGGUCGGAGACGCAGCUGUUAGGCGCGUUACCGCCACCGCGUGGACUGGAGGAUACAGUUCCAGGUUGGAGGAAGUCUAUCCUUACAAACUUACACCAAUAAUUUCCACUCAUGGUUUUAUUAGAUCCUAUUUAUUAUUCCAGUGGAGUUUAUGACUUCUUCAUGAAUGCCAGCAGUGAGUCGUUCACUGUGUCUUACCCAGAUAUACUGAGUGAAAUACUGAGUCACCACAACCUCAAUCUCUAAAUGUUUAACAGCACCAAGCUUUCAAUUCUGGUGACUUUGGGAGUAUUUAUUUAUUUAUAUGAUCAUAUAAUGAAACAAACAUUAACAUAAGCAUGUGCUGCACAGCAUUUCAUUAGUUUAAUUUUACAUUUUAAUUUACUGUAAAGCGCUUUGCUAAAUUUUGCUACGUAAACUUUUUUAGGUAUUAAAACUGGUUACUGUUUGAUUGAUGACAAACUCCAUAUUUUUAUACCUUGGAGCUCCGUGUUACCAUGGUAAUUUAUAAACAAUUACUAACAUUAACUUCAUCAAUGCACGUUUACAUUUUAUUUGAUACUUGACCAGUGUUACGUCCUCAGUUGUAUUUCUGUUUGUACUAUGUUCCAUUCGUGUGUCUAUGUCGGGGGAGGGAUGGGUGUCUUGUCUCCUCCUCUUUUAAGCCCAGUCUACUGCGGUGCGUCAUGUUCCUGCUUGCCAUUGGACGAUCACAUCUCGUACACGCCUGCUCCCGCCUUUGGGAUGAGUUGUCUGUACAUUUCCGGACGUGUACUUAAGCCUCGUCAGUCUCCAUCCCCGGGGCAGAUCGGUGCCGUUGCUUUGUACAGCAGAUAUUUGGUUAUGUGUGUUGAUUUCUCCUGUGUACGACCUUCUGCCUGUUCUUGACUUUGUUUCUGCUCCGCCCCUUUAAGUUCAAUGAUUCAGCUCCCAAACUGCUGGAAAUGUGGGACGGGUUCUAACUCUUCACCAAGACUGCUUUAUCCUGGAGAAGAGGUUUGAGGUGAGACUUCCAUCAUACGCCAGUCCUGUGUCUCCAGGUUACAGUGUGGAUCCUUCAGUAGAUCAGAGAGCAGCUU